AGCAUGUGACAGGACCCAGGCAAACUUGCUCCACAUCUGCUAACUGCAUUUCCUGUUGGAGCAGAUGCAAUGCAUAGCCCAGUAACUUUGCUUGUACCUCUUGCGCACCAGGUGCAGAAUUAAGAUCUGGAUUUGGGACAAAACAGAACAGUUCUCUCGGGGAAGAGCACCACUAUGCUGGCCAUCAGCCUGCUGGGAGCAGCCAUCGCCUCCAUCUGUCUUGGAACCAGCAUGGCCCAGAAGGUAAUUCAAGCUCAGACUGCAAUUUCUGUGGUGGAGAAGGAGGCUGUGACCUUGGACUGUGUGUAUGAAACCAGUGAUUCUACUUAUUAUUUAUUCUGGUACAAACAACUACCCAGUGGUGAACUGACUCUCCUUAUUCGUCAGGGCUCUUACAAUGAGCAAAAUGCAACAGAGGGUCGCUAUUCCCUCUAUUUCCAGAAGGCAUCCAGUUCCAUCCAGCUCAUCAUCACAGCCUCACAGCUCAUGGAUGCAGCAGUGUAUUUCUGUGCCCUGAGACAGGCCACAGUGAGAAGGCUGCCUGUGGGAGUCCCACAAAUACCUCAAGAAGAGCUAGGGCCUCUGGGGGGGAGACCCCACCACAGACAGGGAGGAGCAGGGGCUGUGUCAGCACAGGUGGGGGUUUGGCAAGGAAACCUGAGUGCAGUUCAUGUAGAAUGUCCAGAUGUUCACUUGUGA